CACGUAGGGGCGAGCGUUGUCCGGAUUUAUUGGGCGUAAAGAGCUCGUAGGUGGCUUAGUAAGUCGGGUGUGAAACCUCCAGGCUCAACCUGGAGACGCCACCCGAUACUGCUAUAGCUUGAGUCCGGUAGGGGAGCGUGGAAUUCCUGGUGUAGCGGUGAAAUGCGCAGAUAUCAGGAGGAACACCAGCGGCGAAGGCGGCGCUCUGGGCCGGUACUGACACUGAGGAGCGAAAGCGUGGGGGAGCGAACAGG
rnacentral:rRNA from 1 species